UACGAAGGGUGCAAGCGUUAUCCGGAAUUAUUGGGCGUAAAGAGCUCGUAGGCGGUUUGUCGCGUCUGCUGUGAAAACUGGGGGCUCAACCCCCAGCCUGCAGUGGGUACGGGCAGACUAGAGUGCGGUAGGGGAGAUUGGAAUUCCUGGUGUAGCGGUGGAAUGCGCAGAUAUCAGGAGGAACACCGAUGGCGAAGGCAGAUCUCUGGGCCGUAACUGACGCUGAGGAGCGAAAGCAUGGGGAGCGAACAGG
rnacentral:rRNA from 1 species